CCUACGGGAGGCAGCAGUGAGGAAUAUUGGUCAAUGGACGAGAGUCUGAACCAGCCAAGUAGCGUGAAGGAUGACUGCCCUAUGGGUUGUAAACUUCUUUUAUAUGGGAAUAAAAUGUGCCACGUGUGGGAUUUUGUAUGUACCAUAUGAAUAAGGAUCGGCUAACUCCGUACCAGCAGCCGCGGUAAUACGGAGGAUCCGAGCGUUAUCCGGAUUUAUUGGGGUUACCGGGAGCGUAGGUGGUUUGUUAAGUCAGUUGGGACAGUUUGCGGCUCAACCGUAAAAUUGCCGUUGAAACUGGCAGUCUUGCGUACAGUAGCGGUGGGCGGAAUUCGUGGUGUAGCGG
rnacentral:rRNA from 1 species